CCCAGAUCGUUUACCGUGAAAAAAUUAGAGUGUUCAAAGCAGGCGGAUCCAAUUUUUUUCCCCCGAAUACAUUACCCUGGGAAAAUGGAAUAGGACCCCGUCCUCCUAUUUUCAGUUGGUUUUGGCAGCGCGGGGACUAGGGUAAUGAUUAAUAGGGAUAGUUGGGGGCAUUAAUAUUUAAUUGUCAGAGGUGAAAUUCUUGGAUUUAUGAAAGAUUAACUUUUGCGAAAGCAUCUCCCAAGGAUGUUUUCAUUAAUCAAGAACGAAAGUUAGGGGAUCGAAGACGAUCAGAUACCGUCGUAGUCUUAACCUCUAAACGAUGCCGACCAGCGAUUAGGAGACGUUGAAUACAAAACUCCCCCAUCGGUUGCGGUCAUCCUUGGCGUCUCGGUUUCGGCCGGGGCGCGGGGAUGGCUUAGCCGGGUGGCCCCGGUGAAUUACUCCCUAGCAGCUUGUGAGAA
rnacentral:rRNA from 1 species